UCAGCUCUCUCUGCGCGCCUUGAAACGGAUAAUCUCUCUUCUUCUCUGCUGUGUCUCGCUCUCAAAGCCAAAGCCACUGAAACUGAAAAACGCAGGAAAAAAUGCUUGCGAAUCCUAGCACCAGUACUCUCCAUCACAGACCUAAUUACACACACAACCCUCCAUGUUCACUCUCUAAUCAUCGCUGCAAGCUCUCUCUCUCCCCAAAUUGCCCUCGCUUCUCCAAUUCUGCAAAAUCCAACUUUUCUUCGCUUUCUCUGCUUCUAUCAAGAAGAAAGCGUGAAAGGUUGUUUACUGUUGUCAAUGCUUUCGAGGAAACUUCUGUGGCACAUGACGCCCCUCAGUCUUUGCCUCAGCCUUUUUCUGUCAAAAUCCCCGUCGGUGACAGACAUAUAUUGGUUGAGACGGGUCAUAUUGGGAGACAAGCUAGUGGUUCUGUCACUGUGACGGAUGGGGAAACUAUUGUCUAUACAUCUGUUUGUUUGGAUGAUGUUCCUAGUGAGCCUUCUGAUUUUUAUCCUCUAUCUGUAAAUUAUCAAGAGCGAUUUUCUGCAGCAGGUCGAACUAGUGGAGGAUUUUUCAAACGAGAAGGGAAGUUAAAAGAUCAUGAGGUUCUUAUUUGUAGAUUGAUAGACAGGCCUUUGCGCCCAACCAUGUUCAAGGGCUUCUACCAUGAAACCCAGAUACUAUCUUGGGUUUUGAGCUAUGAUGGUUUGCAUUCUCCUGAUUCUUUGGCUGUCACAGCAGCUGGAAUAGCUGUAGCUCUUUCAGAAGUACCAAAUACAAAAGUAAUUGCAGGAGUUCGAGUUGGCCUUGUUGACAAUAAGUUUAUUGUGAAUCCAACAACCAAGGAGAUGGAAGAGUCAGAAUUGGAUUUAUUGCUGGCUGGUACAGACAGUGCAAUAUUUAUGAUAGAGGGUUAUUGUAAUUUUCUUACAGAAGAAAAGUUGCUUGAUGCAGUACAAAUUGGGCAGGAUGCAGUGCGGGCAAUUUGCAAUGAGGUGGGUGUUUUGGUGAAGAAGUGUGGGAAAGCUAAAAUGCUUGAUGCAAUCAAAUUACCUCCUGCUGAGCUGUAUAAGCAUGUGGAGGAAAUUGCUGGUGAUGAAUUGGUGAAAAUAUUGCAAAUUACAAGCAAAGUACCAAGAAGAAAAGCCCUUGCAUCACUGGAAGAAAAGGUGCUUAGUAUACUUACAGAAAAGGGAUAUGUAAGCAAGGAUGAAAGAUUUGGAACCCCUGAAACAGUUGCAGACUUGCUAGAGGUUGAAGAUGAGGAUGAGGAAAUUGUUGUAGAUGGUGAAGUGGAUGAAGGUGAUGUCCACAUAAAGCCAAUUGGACGCAAAUUCUCUCCCUUGUUGUUUUCUGAGGUAGAUGUGAAGCUGGUAUUUAAAGAAGUUACAUCCAAAUUCUUGCGGAAACGUAUUGUUGAGGGAGGAAAAAGAAGCGACGGGAGAACUCCAGACAGGAUACGUCCAAUUGAUUCCAGAUGUGGAAUACUUCCCAGAGCACACGGAAGUGCUCUUUUCACACGUGGGGAAACACAGUCACUAGCAGUUGUUACACUUGGUGAUAAACAAAUGGCACAAAGAGUAGACAACCUUGUGGACGAAGAGGAAUUCAAGAGGUUCUAUCUACAGUACCUGUUUCCUCCAUCAUGUGUUGGAGAAGUGGGCCGGAUAGGAGCACCUAGUAGAAGAGAAAUCGGCCAUGGAAUGCUCGUGGAGAGAGCUCUCAAACCUAUAUUGCCUUCUGAUGAUGAUUUUCCUUACACAGUACGGGUUGAGAGUACAAUCACAGAAAGCAAUGGCUCCUCAAGCAUGGCCUCUGUUUGUGGAGGCUGCCUGGCAUUACAAGAUGCUGGUGUUCCUGUAAAAUGCAUGAUUGCUGGGAUUGCGAUGGGUAUGGUUCUUGACACUGAGGAAUUUGGGGGUGAUGGAACGCCCCUCAUUCUGUCUGACAUAACUGGAUCAGAAGAUGCUUCUGGAGACAUGGAUUUCAAGGUUGCUGGAAAUGAAGAUGGAAUAACUGCAUUUCAGAUGGACAUAAAGGUUGGAGGAAUCACCUUACCUGUUAUGAGAAAGGCAUUGCUACAAGCAAGGGAUGGCCGAAAGCAUAUUCUUGCUGAAAUGUUGAAAUGCUCACCUUUCCCUUCCGAAAGGCUUUCUAAGUAUGCCCCAUUGAUUCACAUUAUGAAGGUCAAUCCAAAGAAAGUUAACAUCAUCAUUGGUUCUGGUGGGAAGAAGGUGAAGAGUAUAAUAGAAGAAACUGGAGUUGAGGCCAUUGACACACGAGAAGAUGGAAUUGUAAAAAUUACUGCAAAGGAUUUGUCAAGUAUAGAAAAGUCCAAAUCCAUUAUCAAUCAGCUAACAAUGGUUCCAAAUGUCGGUGAUAUCUACAGGAACUGUGAGAUCAAAUCCGUAGCUCCUUAUGGAGUUUUUGUUGAGAUAGCCCCAGGGCGUGAGGGACUUUGCCAUAUUAGUGAACUAACUUCGAACUGGUUGCCAAAGGCUGAAGACGUUUUCAAAGUUGGAGACCGUGUUGAUGUUAAACUAAUUAAGGUAAAUGAAAAGGGACAACUUCGACUUAGUCGCAAAGCAUUGCUUCCUGAAGCCACUCCAGAGAAGUCCAGUGCAGAGCAUCAUGCAACUGAUAAGGCUAGUCCCAGAAGGAUUGUGCAAGCACCAAAGGAUGGUUUAGGUGGAGAGUACAAGGAUAAAGACAGUGCUGUAAAUUCCCCAAGAAGUGAUUCAAUAAAGGAUGCUCCAGUUUCAAAAAAGAAAGUUUACAAGGGAUUAACCAGUUCUGGCACAGAGGGGCCAAAGAACAGUGUUGCAUCUGUCAGUAGCAUUGCCAGCAAAGACGAAGGUACUUUAGUGAAUGGAGAUGCUAAGAUUGGAUAGCAAACGUAGUCUGUUGUUCAUUGAUGAAUAAGUUGGUUUCGUUAUCAUAAUAAAAGAUGACAGGGAAAGAGCAUUAGCUGGAACUGAAGUCACCACCAAUAUGAAGAGAAAGGGACCGCUAAAUUUACAAGUUUGUUUGGGGAAAAAAAAGUGACAAAUAGGGAAAGAAUUGUGGGGUCAUGUGAAUGAGAGUGAUCCAUCUCCUAGUGAUUCUACAAGGUUGCUUCGAUGAUGAAAGGCCAAAGAUGCUCGGGUAAUAUCUUGAAUUUUAGGGUUUGUUGACCCUCUUAUUGUUCUUAAUCUAAGAUUAUAUAAGACAACACAAGCCAUAUGGAAGUACCUAGAAAAGGUUUACUAUCAAGAAAACAAUGCCAAAUGUUUUCAAUUAGAAAAUAAUAUUUCUAAUUAUUCUCAAGGCAGCCUUUCUAUCCAGGAUUACUGCUCUUUCCAAGAUUACUACUCUGGUUUUCAAAAUUUAUGGGCAGGAUAUAUUGAUAUUGUUUAUGCCAAAAUGCCUAUUAAAUCUCUUUUUGUUCAAUAGGUUCGUGAUCAAUUUUUAAUGAAAUCACAAUAUGAAUUUGAGAUUGUUCGCUCAAACUUAAUGAAUAAAGAUCGUUUUCUCUUUAGAUGUUUGUUUUGGGGAAUUACUUUGUAAAGAGCAACUUCUUUUUACACAAGGCAUUUUCAAGCAAGAAAAUUUUGUUACAACUGCUUUUGCUAUUCAAGGAAAAGAAAAUGGUAGAAAUAUGAGUAAUAUAUAGUGUUAUAGCUGCAAAGAAUAUGAACACAUUGCUACUAAUUGUAGAAAGAAGUUCUAUAAUUAUUGCAAACAAGGACAUUAUCAAGGAGUGCCCUACUUGUCCUUAAAACCACAAAAUCAAUUCAUUUCAAGCUAUCAAUUCAUUUCAAGCUGUGGUGUUUGGCAACCCAUCAACGACAACUUAAUUUGUUAUUCUUAAUUCUGAAAUGAUGCAACAAAUGAUUGUUUCAAUCUUUUCGGCCUUAAGGCUACAAGUCAAUUUUGGCUUGCUGAUUUUGCUACCUUAAAUCAUAUGACUAACUCAUCUUGCUUAAAAAUGUGUACAGGUAUCAUAGUUGAUUAGAAAUUUAGAUUGGUAAUGGAAGUCAUAUGUCUAUUACUAAGGUUGGGGAUAUUAAUCCAACUUUAAAGAAUGUGUUUAUAUCACCAAAGUUGUUCACUAGUCUUAUUUCAGUCGGUCAAUUGGUGGAGAAUAAUUGUGAUGUGUAUUUAACUCGUAAUGGUUGUCUUGUGUAGGAUUAGGUGUUUGGGACGAUGAUCGUGAAGGGACUUAAAGUUAAAAUAUUAUUUUUGCUGCAUUUUUCAAUUCCUCGUUUUGUAUCAUUUGCUUGUACCACUAUUCAAAAUAAAGAUGAAGUAUGUCAUAAACACUUAGGCCAUCAAAGUUUUAUUGUUUUGUCUCGUUGGUUAAAUUCUGGUUUUUUGGAAAAUAAAGAUCAAUUUUCUUCUCA